rnacentral:rRNA from 1 species
AGUGAACGCUGGCGGUAGGCCUAACACAUGCAAGUCGAACGGCCGCACAGUAAGAUCUUUCUCUUACUGGUGGCGAGUGGCGGACGGGUGAGGAAUACAUCGGAAUCUACUUUUUCGUGGGGGAUAACGUAGGGCAACUUACGCUAAUACCUCAUACUUCCUACGGGUUAAAGCAGGGGUUCUUCGGACCUUUCGCGAUUCAUUUAGCCGAUGUCGGAUUAGCUAGUUGGCUGGGUAAAGGCCCACCAAGGCGACGAUCCGUAGCUGGUCUGAGAGGAUGAUCAGCCACACUGGAACUGAGACACGGUCCAGACUCCUACGGGAGGCAGCAGUGGGGAAUAUUGGACAAUGGGCGAAAGCCUGAUGCAGCCAUACCGCGUGGGUGAAGAAGGCCUUCGGGUUGUAAAGCCCUUUUGUUGGGAAAGAAAAGAAGCAGGAUAAUACGCCGAUGUUCUGACGGUACCCAAAGAAUAAGCAACGGCUAACUUCGUG